rnacentral:rRNA from 1 species
UACGGAGGGAGCUAGCGUUGUUCGGAAUUACUGGGCGUAAAGCGCACGUAGGCGGCUUUGUAAGUUAGAGGUGAAAGCCUGGAGCUCAACUCCAGAAUUGCCUUUAAGACUGCAUCGCUUGAAUCCAGGAGAGGUGAGUGGAAUUCCGAGUGUAGAGGUGAAAUUCGUAGAUAUUCGGAAGAACACCAGUGGCGAAGGCGGCUCACUGGCCCGGAACUGACGCUGAGGUGCGAAAGCGUGGGGAGCAAACAGG